rnacentral:rRNA from 1 species
UACGGGGGGGGCAAGCGUUGUUCGGAAUUACUGGGCGUAAAGGGCUCGUAGGUGGCCAACUAAGUCAGACGUGAAAUCCCUCAGCUUAACUGGGGAACUGCAUCUGAUACUGGAUGGCUUGAGUUCGGGAGAGGGAUGCGGAAUUCCAGGUGUAGCGGUGAAAUGCGUAGAUAUCUGGAGGAACACCGGUGGCGAAGGCGGCAUCCUGGACCGACACUGACGCUGAGGAGCGAAAGCCAGGGGAGCAAACGGG